rnacentral:rRNA from 1 species
CCUACGGGGGGCAGCAGUGGGGAAUAUUGGACAAUGGGCGAAAGCCUGAUCCAGCCAUGCCGCGUGUGUGAAGAAGGCCUUCGGGUUGUAAAGCACUUUCAGUGGGGAAGAAAGCCUUGGGGCUAAUACCCUCGAGGAAGGACAUCACCCACAGAAGAAGCACCGGCUAACUCCGUGCCAGCAGCCGCGGUAAUACGGAGGGUGCGGAGCGUUAAUCGGAAUUACUGGGCGUAAAGCGCGCGUAGGCGGUCUGAUAAGCCGGUUGUGAAAGCCCCGGGCUCAACCUGGGAACGGCAUCCGGAACUGUCAGGCUAGAGUGCAGGAGAGGAAGGUAGAAUUCCCGGUGUAGCGGUGAAAUGCGUAGAGAUCGGGAGGAAUACCAGUGGCGAAGGCGGCCUUCUGGACUGACACUGACGCUGAGGUGCGAAAGCGUGGGUAGCAAACAGGAUUAGAUACCCCAGUAGUC